GACGAACGCUGGCGGCGUGCUUAACACAUGCAAGUCGAACGGAAAGGCCCUGCUUUUGUGGGGUGCUCGAGUGGCGAACGGGUGAGUAACACGUGAGUAACCUGCCCUUGACUUUGGGAUAACUUCAGGAAACUGGGGCUAAUACCGGAUAGGAGCUCCUGCUGCAUGGUGGGGGUUGGAAAGUUUCGGCGGUUGGGGAUGGACUCGCGGCUUAUCAGCUUGUUGGUGGGGUAGUGGCUUACCAAGGCUUUGACGGGUAGCCGGCCUGGGAGGGUGACCGGCCACAUUGGGCCUGAGAUACGGCCCAGACUCCUACGGGAGGCAGCAGUGGGGAAUAUUGCACAAUGGGCGGAAGCCUGAUGCGGCAACGCCGCGUGCGGGAUGACGGCCUUCGGGUUGUAAACCGCUUUCGCCUGUGACGAAGCGUGAGUGACGGUAAUGGGUAAAGAAGCACCGGCUAACUACGUG
rnacentral:rRNA from 1 species